GCGGUUGUGGCUCGGUGGUAGAGCACUUGCCUAGCACAUGUGAGGCCCUGAGUUCAAUUCUCAGCACCGCA
rnacentral:tRNA from 1 species